CGAGUAGGCGGUCGGCCAAGUGGAAUGUGAAAGCCCGGGGCUCAACCCCGGAACUGCAUUCCAAACUUGCGGACUAGAGGACAGGAGGGGGAAGUGGAACUCCAGGUGGAGCGGUGAAAUGCGUAGAUAUCUGGAGGAACACCGGUGGCGAAAGCGACUUCCUGGCCUGUCCCUGACGCUGAGGCGCGAAAGCGUGGGUAGCAAACAGGAUUAGAUACCCUGGUAGUC
rnacentral:rRNA from 1 species